rnacentral:tRNA from 1 species
GUCCUUGUAACUCAGUAGGAUAGAGUAACGACCUCCUAAGUCGUAAGUCGGUGGUUCGAAUCCACUCAAGGACGCCA